rnacentral:rRNA from 1 species
AGAACGAACGCUGGCGGCAUGCCUAAUACAUGCAAGUCGAACGAACUCUUCGGAGUUAGUGGCGCACGGGUGCGUAACGCGUGGGAAUCUGCCCUUGGGUUCGGAAUAACAGUUGGAAACGACUGCUAAUACCGGAUGAUGACGAAAGUCCAAAGAUUUAUCGCCCAGGGAUGAGCCCGCGUAGGAUUAGCUAGUUGGUGAGGUAAAGGCUCACCAAGGCGACGAUCCUUAGCUGGUCUGAGAGGAUGAUCAGCCACACUGGGACUGAGACACGGCCCAGACUCCUACGGGAGCAGCAGUAGGGAAUAUGGACAAGUGGGACGAAAGCUGAUCCAGCAAUGCCGCGUGAGUGAUGGAACGGUCGUUAGGGUUAGUAAAGGCCUUCGUUUACCCGAGAUGAAUAAUGAAC